rnacentral:lncRNA from 1 species
CCCUGAACCACACUAUCUGGAGGCUACAGAAAGACACCACUGCUAUUUUGAAAGGCAAGGGUGGUUCAAGGAACAUCAGGGUCUUUUACACUAAAGAGAUAAUACGAAGUGAAAAGGGCAGUUUCUUUAUCAACAAUAUUGCUCACUAGAGAAUUGGUGGACUGCCCCUCUUCUUUCUAGGUGACAGGAAGAUUCACGAGGGAAGCGGCUGAACAAUUUCUUAUUUGUCUUGUUCAAACUUGUUCCAACAUCAACAAAAUUGCUCUCAAAUCAGACAUUUUAGAAUUGGACACAAAUCAUUAAUUCCAAUUUAUAUGUCUCUCUUUUAUUAGAGAAAUAUUUAUUUAGUGUCACUAUGCAUCCAGGACUGUGCUAGCUCUUUGGGACUAUAGAAAACCAGUCCAGUAGGAUAAAACUUUCUUCUGCCAAUGACAUUAGCAACACUUCUCAAGUUUGCCAAGGGCAAACAAGGCCACUGAAAACCCCUGGUCUCCUUUCACACAUCAAACUAUCCCCCAAUUCAACUAAGUCUUUGCUCAAAAAUUGAGUCCUUUGUCCUCAUGGGAAAUACCAAUGUGAGCCAUCUUGAAGUUUGGUCACCUGUGGACUCUUAGCAGACAAGGAGGUAAAGCCAGCUGACUAAGUACUAAUAGAGAAUUUGAUCCGAGUGGGAGUUAGAUGAUCUCUCUCAUUUCAAGAUGCUUUAAGGAAUCAGUGAAAGAGCAACUGAAAUGUAGUGUGUCAGUACUGGAGGCCUGUGAUUGGCCCUAUCAGCCACAGGAGAUGGGGAAUCCCAUUGACCUAGUUUGCUAUAGACUCGCAGCGCUAGGGAUUAGCCUAGCCAUGGCUUAUGUGUUGAUAGGAUGAGGUGAAUUGGGUUCCAGCCUAGUUCCCACAUGGCAUUAGAGAGAGAAAUGUCUUCGACAACCACCCACACACUAUGGAAUAAACCAAAACUUUUCAAUCAGAUUUUGGCAUCAAAUCACUGCCUCCCCCAAUCUCCUGCUAUUCCUCAAUAUAAACCCUGGCACAGGGGGUUAAGGAUCCAGCAUUGUCCAUGCAGCAGCUUGGGUCGCAGCCAAAACCAAAAAGUUUAAAAUACCAACUAAUAUAUGAGAAGUUCCUAGAAAAAAGUUCUCAAGUUCUUAGGUGAUUAAAUAAAUGAACAUAAGUAAAGCACAGUAGCACUACCAAUCUUUUUGCUCUUGACAGCAGCUAGACUUGCAGCUCAGCAAAGGCAAACAUGUGCACCUAAUACCUGUCUAUUUUAUCACACAGCAAACCAUUCCCCAGUGAGACUAAAUCUUUGUUCAGAAAUUGAAUCAUUUGCACUCGAGGGAAAUUCUUAUCUGAGCCAUCUUAAAAUCUGGUCACAUGAACCCUCAGUAUGAUUUAAGCAUUCCUGCCUCCAUGUCUGACUCCUGCCUAAAAAAGUUUUCCCAUUCUUCAUUGUUGAGGCAAGUUCAAGUCAUGUAUUGUAAAGCCUAUGAUAAAUCCUACCCAGCCAUGAAUCCUGUACUGCUCUCCACAACCCACAAGAAUCCCUUUAUUGUAAAUACCACUCACCUUGACACAUAUUUAUCACAUAUUUCUCUGAUAUUUUCAUACAAGAUGUUUCUCUCAUUGAGAAGAUUCAGCCUUGUGAGGACAGUGAUAAAUUGCCUACUUUAUUUUUAAAUCUCCCCAUGCAUCUACCUAGAACAAUUGUUGAGUUUCCAUGGUUGUGUCAGUUGAUGCCUUAAAGGGCUAGUUAAGCCUUUAAAACAAUCAGAGAGGCUUAUUCAUAAGGUUUGAGCUUCAACUACCCAAGCACUUCCCUGCCCAUAUUAACUGCUAUUGAUAUAAACAGAGAACUUGGUCAUGGAAUUUGAGUCUGCCACUGGACAGUCACUGUUAUGCAAAUCUGGUACCCAUCCCUGUUCAUGAACAUGACUGCUAUUUUUCAUGACGGACAAGAUUUAGGUAUCCAUUCUCUGCUUGCUUAACUUGCUAUUAGACUAUAUCCCAGUCUUCCUCUGCCAGCCUUUCUUCUUCCCACCAACAGUUGUUGAGUGCCUCCCUCAUGAUAGAUGCUUUGUUAGAUGCAGAAGAUACAACGAAAAACAUGAUAACAAGGGUCCCACCUUCAUAAACUAGAAGUGCAUCUGGGACUAAAAAUUCAUAGCAACCAUGAUGUUCUGAACAAUCUCAGAGUGACUGAGAAUAGAACUAUCUUUGGAGAAACUCACAGUCCUGUCCUAUUUUUAGUUGGAAACAGCAAUGCACUCUCACCCUUGAAACUAACCACUUCCCAGAGAUCACAGGAAUCUGCCCAGGCUGCUCCAUGAGAAAAAUUCAGCCUGUUAACUGUGGAUAUGAAUGCAGUUCCUUACUGUCUUUAUUAACAGAGGAGUUAUUUCAAUGCAAAUGUUGGUAAUGCAAUCGAUAGUUCAAAAACAAAAUGCCUUAUUCCUUAUAUAUAGAGCUGACAGCCUGGAGACAAUGUAGCUGGAUAGUCACUAAAAUGUCUGAGGAGGGGAUAUCAUUUUCCCCCAUCUCCCAAAGCAUCCUGGUAUUCAAAACUCAUCUGUAUUUCUAGACGCAAACAAUUCCCUUGUUUGGAUCACCAAAACAAGAAACAUCUUCUCACAUAAUUAAAACAUGCAGCUCUUCCAAGACGGCCACUCGGAUGCUAGCUAAGAAAGGCGCAAUCCGUACUGAAGAAGAAUUAUGCAUGAGUUAGGGCUGAGAGUUACACUUGGGUAAAAUCCUCAAUUACUGUAGCUUCAUUAAUGCAUUCUCAGUGUCUUACUGCUGAGUGACUGUUCUGAAUAAAUUGUGCUCUCAUGCAUGCACUCAAAGAAAUGACGAAAUUCUGAAUGAAUAAGCAGUCAGCGCCCAGGAGAGAUUCUUGAGGCUACAGUUACUCAGAACUUCCUGUAUUUGCCACAAUGGGGGAAGAAUAUGGAAGUUUCAUAGAACCACACAAUCUCAGGGCUAGAACAGACCCUAGUGGUCAUUUGGUCACCCCUUCCCAGGUCCUCCCCCACCCAAUGGAUGAAUCUUCUCUACCCUCAUCUCCAAGAAAUGGUCACAGAGGAUUGCAAUUCUUAUCACAAGAACCUUGCUACCAUUUCCUGACAUGUUCCUUUUCAUUAAUCAUUAUGAAAUUCUUUAUUUAUGCUAAGCUAAAAUCUAUCUUCCCAGAGGUCCUCAUUUUCCUCUCUAGGUCCACACAAAGUCAUUCUAAUCCUUCUUUCAAGUAACAGUUCUCUCAAUAUUUAAAGAGCUGUCACACAUUUCAUCCUGUGAAAUAUGUACAGUGAUGUCAAGGAGAAUGAGGGCUGUGAAAAGGUCGUGGCACCUCUACGUCGGGAAAGCUAUUAGGGAACCAUGACCAUUGGGUUUCAUCAGCAUGGAAGACACAGAGAUACGAGGAGGCCAAGCAGGGUACCCUUUAACCACCAGCUUCACUUCCUUCCUUCCUUCCUAUUGAUAUAUCCCCAAUUUUCUCAUUCCUCAGUAGAUAUCCCUGCCAUCAUCUAGUUAGUUGUUCAAACUCUAAAAUACCUCUCUGUUAUCGUUCACAUAUGACCCAUCACCUAUGUCCUAAAUAUACCUUGAAUAUAGUCACUUAUUUUUAUUUUCACUGAUACUAUUCUGAUCCAAGCUACUAUACUUUAUCUAAGCUUAUCCUUUCUCAUGACUAGUCACCUCCACUUCCAUGCUUUCCUGCUUCCACUCUAAAUUGCACAUCAGACCACAUUACACUCCUGUAUCAGACUUUUCAGUGGCUUUCUGCUGCUCUCAGGAUGGAGACCAGUGUCCCUAACAUAGCCAUCCAGGCCCUGCCUCUCCUCACCUCUAUUUCCUCUCAGCUUCCUUUUGCUCCUUCUCUACACUGACCUUCCUGCUAUUCUUCUUAGAUAAGGGAAAGGUAGAGAAAACUAAUCUGAGAAGACUGAAAAGGAACCGUUAUAGGAGAAAUAAGAAAAACAAAUGUAUGUGUUGUCACAAGUCAGGAAAAGAGAAUUUCUACAGGGGAGGAAUGUCAAGAAAUUCAAAUGCUAUAAGAAGUUUGAAGUGAGAUGAGAUUUGGCACCCAUGAAGCCACUGAUAACUCUAAUAAAAACAAGGUUCUAGCAGCACAGUCAGGUUGCAGUGAGGUGUGGCAUAAAUUGAUGGUGAGAGAAGGGAACAGGGAAGGUAGGAAGAGGCUAGAAGGAGAAGCAAAAUUAAAAUAGAAAAUGUGUUUCUGUUUUAAAAAGGAAAGUCCUAUUAGAAAAGGCAACAUUACGGAGAUGUGAAAGAAGUUGACUGAUUAAACAGGGUUCCUGAGGAAAUAAGAAAUGAGAUUAAAGUAACACAAGAUUAUGCAAAAGACUAGCCCAGUGUUUGGUAUACAGCAAGUCCUCAAGGAGAAAUUUUAAUAUAAGGAUAAUUGGUUUUGAUAUUUUUCUGAUGAGAAGGAAUAUUAGUAAACUUUAUAGAUGAGGGGAGUUUAUGAAGAAGGGAAGGAAUUCUUAUUGCAUACCUAAAUAUGUAAUGUACUAUAUAGAUUUAAGGAGGCUACCUGUGAAAAGUAAGCAAAAGCUUAAAAUCGUGUGUACUUUUCACACUAAAUCAGUAUGCAUUUUCUUGAGUCUUCAGACUUUACCCAGAAUUCAUUAUAAAAAUCACUCCAGCUUUUCUGCAUCUCCCCCAUCCAUCAGGAAUGAUACUGCUUACCAUUUCAACAUGAAAUAAUCCCACUCUAAGUUGGAGACUGUUCUUUCACAUUGCAUUUUGUCUUAAAGGAAGAAAUGAAACUCUGACCCAUUGUAUGAACCUGUUGCUCACUGGCAUUUUGUUUGUACAAACUGAAAGCAUGCACCAGUAAAUCAUGUUGUUAUUUACCCAGUAUCUGAAGCUACUAACUUAAAGAAUGUUUUUAAAAUGUGUAUAUUCUUAAGGGCUAAAUUUAGAAAUAGUAGUGAGAUUACAGUUGCCCAGAGAAAAAUAUUAAUUGCUACUAUUUGCAUAUAGAAAAGUACAAGUCAGCUUCUGAUAGGAGGACCUCUGGCCUGAAAGAGAUUAAGGGUCUGGAAAGGUGAUUAACUGGAUUAACUGUGACUUUUUGGAAAAAAAUUACUCUGAAAUUUCUUCUCAAAGAUUUGUUUAAAAUAAGACAUCAUGGACCUUAUUAGAAUUUGCAGGUUAUUGAAAGAGAUGAAUUAAGAACAUUCCCAAUUGUCUCAUGAUAUCUUAUUUCUACCAAAUGGUAACUCCCAUGAAAGCAAUGCAUGUCUUUUACUUUUAAAAUCCCAAACUUCUGGCAUGUAGCAGGAUAUUUUAUGAAUUAAUGAAUGAAUGAGACAAUAGUCUUAAAUAAAGAGAACUAGACAGGCUGUUGCCUUUUAUAAAAAUGUGCUCUCUAUAUUUUAUUUAUUUUUUAUGAGUUUUAUUUUUUCCAUUAUAGUUGAUUUACAGUGUUCUGUCAAUUUGUACUCUACAGCAAAAUGACCCAGUCAUACAUAUAUAUUCAUGGACUCUCUAUAUUAUAAAACUAACAUUGUGUGAAGUAGUAGAAAGAGGAGAGAAGGCAAAUAGCCAGAGGUCUGAAUCACAUCUUUGGCACCUACUAUUUAUCUAUAUGACCUUGAGCAAGACUUUCAGUCUUUCAGUACCUUAGUUUGCUCAUUGGUGAAAUGUGAAAUGGGUGAAUACAACAAACUUCAUAGAAUUUUUGAAAAGAUUAAAUAAAGUAGCACAUAUAAGCACAGCCCUUGUAAUACAGCAUGCAUAAAAUAACUAUCAGUUGCUUUCUACUUCUUCCCCUGAAAAAAAGGUAUAAAAUGUAAUUCUUGCUCUCAAAAUUCCCCAAUCCAAUAGGAGGAUAGAAAUGUAGAAAAGUACAAAUGAUACUGAAUAACAUUAAAAUAAAUUCUAAAAAAGUUCAGUAAAGUACAAAUAAAUGCUAGAAGAUUGAAGGAAAAGAAUGCUAGAUUGCAAAUAAUUUGCAGAGGUAACAAGUGGCAAACACAAUAGAAUAUGAAGAAAUGACAUUAAGCAAAUAUUUUCCUUCUCUCUAUUCAACGAGUUUCUUCUAUAAAAUGUGAUAUUUCUAGCAAAAUACCUUUCAUCUCUUCAUCCUC